GACGUAGGGCGCGAGCGUUGUCCGGAUUUAUUGGGCGUAAGGAGCUCGUAGGCGGCUUGUCGCGUCGAAUGUGAAAAUCGUCAGGGCUCAACUCGACAUUGCAUUCGGAUACGGGCAGGCUAGAGUUCGGGUAGGGGAGACUGGAAUUCCUGGUGUAGGCGGUGAAAUGCGCAGAUAUCAGGAGGAACACCGAGUGCGAAGGCAGGUCUCUGGGCCGAUACUGACGCUGGAGGAGCGAAAGCGUGGGGAGCGAACAGG
rnacentral:rRNA from 1 species